GGAGUGGACAGGAACACGAAAUUGACAACGACGGAAAUACGAAACUUGUGAACGAGGGAUUCGUGUGAAAAUAACGAUUUCCCAAUGUAUAUUUUAAAAAAUUUUUUUUGACAUCUUUUAAUAUUUGGUUGACGCAUACAUGUAUUGCGGGAUUGUUUUUAUCAAAACACAUCUUUGAUAAUAACCAGUUGCCAUUCCUCUUGUAUUGUAUUAUUUUAUUUACCAGACUGUAUAAACAGUUUUUAUCGUAUCUGGCGAACCUGUUACUUUUCCAUAAUUUAUAUUCUAGUAAUGGAGCGAAGUGAGCUCUACUGGCAAGGCGUGUGUGAAUUACAUGUAUAGAAAAUUCGGACCAGUUGCAUAUUUCAAAUAAAAAAAGAACAGCAUUUCCGGAGUUUUCAUACUCGUUGGAAUGGACAUUGUCAUAAUUGCAUAAUACUCGUCUAACAUUUAGAUAUUUAUAUAUUAAAUGUACUGGUAAAAUGGAAUAUUGUGGAGAAUUGGUUAUUCUUUUAAAUAUAUUUAACAAUAUUUUGAUAUGGUAAAGACCUCGUAAGUUGUAAGAACUUGCGUCUUAACCAUUGGUACAUCUAUCUAAUAUAUAUACAAUAAAAUAUGUUCAAAUCAAAUCAAUAUAAUUUUGAUUACUUUCCAAUUAUUUUUUUUAACUGGUGAAUGAUUAUGACUUUUUUUUAAAAAAAUUAGUAUUUCUUAUGAACUUUGAACGUGCAAUAGUUCAUUAAUCGACAUUGUUACAUAGUUUUAGUACACUGUUUAUCUAUAAAAUUUAGUCACUUAUUAUUAUAUAUGCUUGUUGGCAUUGCUUGUAUUUGAGAUCAUUUCAAUAACAAUAUUACAACAACAAUAAUCUGUAUUUAACCAACAUGAACAUGUACUUGUAUAUUCUUGGGGGGGGGGGGCUCAUGUUUAUUAUUGUUUCUCGUAACUUUUUUUUGCAGUUGUAUGCAAAACUGUAUACAAUCGUGAAAAUGUUAGCCACUGCUGGGCGAGGGAUUUCACCGAUAUAUUUACAUUCAGAAAUGUUCUACUGUUAUACUACAUGUAGUACAUUAAUCUUCUGACACUUUUCCACUAUUGUUAUGACACACUAUUUUUGUAACCUUUUUAAUACAUAUAGUAUAAUAAUAUAUACUAUGUUUUAUCAGACUAAAAUGAUCAAAAGUACCGAAAUAAAGACUAUAUACAUGUCAAAUC
rnacentral:misc_RNA from 1 species